rnacentral:lncRNA from 1 species
GUACCAAAAAGUCUGAAGUCACAGCUGGAAAGCUGGGAAGAUCAGGAAUUCAAAAUGCACUCUUUGGCAUAAAAAUUUUAAUCAUUUACUUAAAAUGUAAAAUCCAAGAUUUUUUUUUUUUUUUUUUUUGAGACAGAAUCUUGCUCUGUCGCCCAGGCUGGAGUGCAGUGGUGCAAUCUCGGCUCACCACAAGCUCUGCCUCCCGGGUUCACGCCAUUCUCCUGCCUCAGUCUCCCGAGUAGCUGGGACUACAGGCGCCUGAUAUCUUUCAAUGGGCAGACUUUUUGGUUUUAAGUUGUUUUAAUGGUUUGUGCUUUUUGUACCCUAUUUAAGAAAUCUUUGUCUAAUCCAUAGUGAUAAAGAUUAUCUGUGUUUUCUUCUGAAAAUGUGGUAAUUUUAGCUUUUAUGUUUAGAUCUGAGAUCCAUUUUGGUUGGGCGUGGUGGCUCACGCCUGUAAUCCCAACAGUUCGGGAGGCUGAGGUGAGUGGAACACCUGAGGUCAGGAGUUUGAGACCAGCCUGGCCAAUAUGGUGAAACCCUGUCUCUACUAAAAGUACAAAAAUUAGCCGGAUGUGAUGGUGCACGUAUGUAAUCCCAGCUUCUUGGGAGCCUGAGGCAGGAGAAUCACUUGAACCUGGGAGGCGGAGGUUGCAAUGAGCUGAGAUCGCACCAUUGCACUCCAGCCACUCCAGCCUGUGUGACAGAGUGAGACUCUGUUCUCAAAAAAAAAAAAAAAAAAAAAAAAAAAAGAUCUGUGAUCCAUUUCGAGUUAAUUUUUAAUGGAAAGAGCUAAGGAUUGAGGUUCAUUGUUUUACAUGUAGACUUCCGAUUGUUCUCACACCAUUUGUUUUAAAGUAAACAACAACAGCAAGCCUCUUCUUUCUCCAGUGAAUUAUGUUGAUACCAUGUUUGUAAAGUAAUUGACCAUAUCUGUGUGCCUUUGUUUCUGGAUUCUGUUCUGUUCCAUUAUGGCUUAUUCCUCAUAGGUCCCAGUAUCACACUGUCUCUGUAGU